AAUAUGACUCUCGGCAAUGGAUAUCUCGGCUCUCGCAUCGAUGAAGAGCGCAGCGAAAUGCGAUACAUGGUGCGAAUUGCAGAAUCCCGUGAACCAUCGAGUCU
rnacentral:rRNA from 28 species